UUGAUCCUGGCUCAGAAUCAACGCUGGCGGCGUGCCUAACACAUGCAAGUCGAGCGAGAAAAGGGGAGCAAUCCUCUGAGUAAAGCGGCGCACGGGUGAUUAACACGUGGGUAAUCUACCCUGAAGUGGGGAAUAACACCGGGAAACCGUUGCUAAUACCGCAUAUGAUCACGGUGUCUGCGGACACAGGGAUGAAAGGUGCAAUUCGCUUCAGGAGGAGCCCGCGGCUGAUUAGCUAGUUGGUGAGGUUAUGGCUCACCAAGGCUACGAUCAGUAUCCGGUCUGAGAGGACGGUCGGAUACACUGGAACUGAGACACGGUCCAGACUCCUACGGGAGGCAGCAGUGGGUAAUUUUUCGCAAUGGGGGCAACCCUGACGAAGCAACGCCGCGUGGAUGAUGAAGUAUCUCGGUACGUAAAAUCCUUUCGACAGGGAAGAAACCCGCAAGUGUUGACGGUACCUGUAGAAGAAGCCCCGGCUAACUCCGUGCCAGCAGCCUCGGUAAUAAGGU
rnacentral:rRNA from 1 species